rnacentral:rRNA from 1 species
UACGUAGGGGGCUAGCGUUGUCCGGAAUCAUUGGGCGUAGAGCGCGUGUAGGCGGCUCGGCAAGUCCGCUGUGAAAGCCGGGGGCUCAACCCUCGAAAGCCGGUGGAUACUGUCGGGCUAGAGUGCGGAAGAGGCGAGUGGAAUUCCUGGUGUAGCGGUGAAAUGCGCAGAUAUCAGGAGGAACACCGGUGGCGAAGGCGCUCUGCUAGGCCGCAACUGACGCUGAGGGACGAAAGCUAGGGGAGCGAAUGGG